GGGGAUUUAGCACAGUGGUAGAGCGCUUGCCUAGCAAGCACAAGGCCCUGGGUUCGGUCCCCAGCUCCG
rfam:Rattus norvegicus chromosome 7, whole genome shotgun sequence.